rnacentral:rRNA from 1 species
UGUGGCUAAGUUUUCAAGGGCGCAUGGUGGAUGCCUUGGCAACAGGAGCCGAAGAAGGACGUGGGAAUCUGCGAUAAGCCUGGUGGAGUCGAUAACCGGACGUUGAGACCAGGAUUUCCGAAUGGGGGAACCCCGCACGACUUUCAAGAUCGUGUGACCGCCUGCUGAACACAUAGGCAGGUUGGAGGGAACGCAGGGAAGUGAAACAUCUCAGUACCUGCAGGAAGAGAAAACAAAAGUGAUUCCGUGAGUAGUGGCGAGCGAAAGCGGAUGGGGCCAAACCGUAUGUGUGUGAUACCCGGCAGGGGUUGCAUGUACGGGGUUGUGGGCCUUUGCGUGAUGGUUCUGCCGGACCAUCGAAGUGAGGUGCGGGCGUAUAGACGAACAGGUUUGGAUGCCUGACCGUAGAGGGUGAGAGUCCCGUAGUUGUAAUGCGUUCCGCCGCUUUGUGAAUGUGCCCGAGUAGCACGGGGCCCGAGAAAUCCCGUGUGAAUCUGCCAGGACCACCUGGUAAGCCUGAAUACUACCUGUUGACCGAUAGCGGAUCAGUACCGUGAGGGAAUGGUGAAAAGUACCCCGGGAGGGGAGUGAAAUAGUACCUGAAACCAUGUGCCUACAAACCGUCGGAGCCUCCUUGUUGGGGUGACGGCGUGCCUUUUGAAGAAUGAGCCUGCGAGUUAGUGAUACGUGGCGAGGUUAACCCGUGUGGGGCAGCCGUAGCGAAAGCGAGUCUGAAUAGGGCGAUUUCAGUCGCGUGUCCUAGACCCGAAGCGGAGUGAUCUACCCAUGGCCAGGUUGAAGCGCGUGUAAGAGCGCGUGGAGGACCGAACCCACUUCAGUUGAAAAUGGAGGGGAUGAGCUGUGGGUAGGGGUGAAAGGCCAAUCAAACUCCGUGAUAGCUGGUUCUCCCCGAAAUGCAUUUAGGUGCAGCGUCACGUGUUUCUUCCCGGAGGUAGAGCUACUGGAUGGCUGAUGGGCCCUACAAGGUUACUGACGUCAACCAAACUCCGAAUGCCGGGAAGUGAGAGCGUGGCAGUGAGACUGUGGGGGAUAAGCUUCAUAGUCGAGAGGGAAACAGCCCAGACCACCGGUUAAGGCCCCUAAGCGUGUGCUAAGUGGGAAAGGAUGUGGAGUUGCUGAGACAACCAGGAGGUUGGCUUAGAAGCAGCCACCCUUGAAAGAGUGCGUAAUAGCUCACUGGUCAAGUGAUUCCGCGCCGACAAUGUAGCGGGGCUCAAGCACACCGCCGAAACCGUGGCAUUCAAGCUUUUGUUUGGAUGGGUAGGGGAGCGUCGUGCACUGCGGUGAAGCCAUCGAGGAAUCGUAUGGUGGAGUGUGCACGAGUGAGAAUGCAGGCAUGAGUAGCGAAAGACGGGUGAGAAACCCGUCCGCCGGAUGACCAAGGGUUCCAGGGUCAAGCUAAUCUGCCCUGGGUAAGUCGGGACCUAAGGCGAGGCCGACAGGCGUAGUCGAUGGACAACGGGUUGAUAUUCCCGUACCGGCGAAGGACCGCCCCUGCUGACCUGGUGAUACUAACCGCCCGAACCAUCCGUGACUUGCCCCUUCGGGGGUGAGCGUGUGGUGGGGAGCGCGGGACCUGAACCAAGAAGGCAAGCGUAUUAACAGGUGUGACGCAGGAAGGUAGCCGGGCCAGGCAAUGGAAAUGACCUGGUCCAAGGGUGUAGGACGUCCGGUUGGCAAAUCCGCCGGGCAUGAUGUCUGAGACCUGAUAGGCCCCCACUAGGUGGGGGAUCCGGUGAUCCUAUGCUGCCAAGAAAAGCAUCGAC